rnacentral:lncRNA from 1 species
ACGGGGUGGUUAUUUGGGUGAGAAAAUGAGUCGCCGCGCUGGUCCUGGAGGGUUAGUAGGAGUUCAGAGGGCUCUGGUUGUUUUCUCUGUUCCUUUGAUGGGGUGGUGGGGUCCCUAAUGUGUUGAUGUGCAUUUGGUCUUGCUCUGUUUUGACUGCCUGACGAAGAAUGUGGUAUGUGUUCAGAAGUGUGGGUCAGACGAAGUGGUGAUGGUCAUCUUCUUGUUCUGUGUGGAUAUUGGAGAUCAAGGGAAAGUCAGCUCUGGUUUUUGUAAUAUUUUAAUUGUGGUGGUCUUGUAUAUAUAUUUUUUUUCCCAGGAACACACCCUGGGGAGUUUGGAUAUAUAUGUGUUUGCAUAUGGGCUAUGUUAAGGAAGGCAUUUGGGUAGUUUUCUCUGCACUUGCAAUGUGAUUGUUAUAGUUGGGAAAUGGAGGAGGAAUAUUUGUACAUUCUGGACAUCAUGUUUUGGUACAAGGGAUUUUGAAUAAAUUUUAUUUUCAUUACCCAUGCACAUGUACUUGAGUGUGUGAAGGCUGGUCGGUUACUAAUUUUGUGGAGCAGUAGAAUGAAGAUGGCAGGCUUCUGCAUUUUGGAAGACAGAGAGUUAUUUCUUCAUAUUUGGGAGGGUGUGAGUGUGUGAGCUUGUAUAUGAAGAUGAGAUACCUAUGGAGAGUUACUUGUGUAUUGAGAUUGUAUUAACUACCCCACCUCAGGUGUGUGUGUGUGUUUGUGUUGCAGUAUUAGCAUUAGUUGU